CACCUAGCGGGGACAGGAUGUAUCGUCACCAACUGCCUGCAGCCAAAAGUGUAUUGAAGACAUGAGUGUAGCUGCCUACUAAAAUAGAUAGAGAAGUGAUGACAAGCAGGGACUGUGGAUGUCCGAACAGAGCUGCAGCUGUGGGGGAUUGAGGAGGGGAAAAUGAAUCUUCAGCUCACAUGGAUGAUGCGUUGGACAUUGCAGCUAGAGCUCCAUGUGUCUCAUCACAUAUUCCAUUCGAUCGUCAUUUGGCUCGCUUAGUCAUGUCUGUGUGGGUGGACGUCUACUGCCAAGUUGGAAAUGUUGGGUAGAAAAAUCCGAACAAGUGAAGCGCACAGUCACAAAUCAAACAGGGAACCUACAGUCUGUUAUGAUAAAAGA